rnacentral:rRNA from 1 species
CUAACAAGGAUUCCCCUAGUAACGGCGAGUGAAGCGGGAAGAGCACAAAUUUAAAAUCUACCUGGUUUCCAGGUCGAGUUGUAAUUUGAAGAAACGUUUUUGACGUUUCGGGUUGGGAUAAAUCCUUUGGGAUGAGGUAUCAUGGAGGGUGAGAAUCCCGUGUAUACCAACCGCAGGGAUGUUAUUUAAUACGUUUUCUAAGAGUCGAGUUGUUUGGGAAUGCAGCUCUAAAUGGGUGGUAAAUUUCACCUAAUGCUAAAUAUAAGCGAGAGACCGAUAGCGAACAAGUACCGUGAGGGAAAGAUGAAAAGAACUUUGAAAAGAGAGUUAAAUAGUAUGUGAAAUUGUUGAAAGGGAAACGAUUGAGGUCAGUCAUGCCGGCGGGAAUCAACUUAGGGGAAACUUUAAGUGCAUUUCACGUUUGGCAGGUCAGCGUCGAUUUUGGAUAUCAUAAAAUGAUUGGGGGAAGGUAGCUCCUUCGGGAGUGUUAUAGCCCCUGAUAGAUGUGAUGUCUGGGGUCGAGGAUUGCAACGGAUAUUCUUUGGGCUAGCCGCCUGAUCUCUAACUGGUGUUAGGUUACGGACAGCAUGCUGACCGUGAUUUAAUUACUGGUUAAAAGGUUAGAGCGAGUGUAAAUUUGUUAAGGACGC